rnacentral:rRNA from 1 species
GACGAACCGUGCGAACGUUAUUCGGAAUCACUGGGCUUAAAGCGCGUGUAGGCGGAUGAGCACGUCUGUCGCUGAAAUCCCCCGGCUCAACCGGGGAACGGGCGCGGAUACGGCUCGUCUCGAGGGGCGUAGGGGGACCUGGAACUUCCGGUGGAGCGGUGAAAUGCGUUGAGAUCUGCAAGAAUACCCGUGGCGAAGGCGGCCAGCUGGGCCGGAUCCGACGCUGAGGCGCGAAAGCGUGGGGAGCAAACAGG